AUCCAAACAGUCCGUAAGUCCAACAGGGUUUAACGCUUCAAGUUCCCGUCUCAAAACCCUACUGCUCUUUGAGUAUCCAUUUUCUGAAAAUGGCAUCUUUCACCGCUGCCAGAUCCAUUUUCCGAUCAACCUCCUCCGCUCGCAACGCUGCUGCCCGCUUUGCAUCCAAACCUAAAGCCUCACCGGCUUCUCCCUUUCGAGCUUCCGCCAACAAGCCUCUCUCUCAACCCAUUUUCAGGCGUCCCGUCGAAAUGAGCUUCGGUGUGGAAUCGAUGUUGCCAUACCACACAGCCACUGCUUCGGCAUUGAUGACUUCGAUGCUAUCCAUCUCUCGCCGGAGCUAUGGUUGGCUUCCGGAAGCUUGCAAUGAUGAUGUGUGAUGAAUGUUCAGAGGAUUCAAGCAACUUUAGAACAAAUUUCUGCCUUUAAGAAGUUUUGAUUGAGCUGCUGUGGAGCAAGCUGGCAUUUCUUGAUCUUGCAAAUGUAGAUGAAUUAGUAGACUUUUCUGACCUUUUCUGUGGCCUAAAGAUGCCACCUUUCUCCAUGACUUUAGGCUUAAUUGUAUCUUUCAAACAUCAGUUGCAAGGUGUAUUACAUAAUAUUGAAGUGACUAAUAUUUUUCGUCUGUUUCUUAGCAAUAUGAAAAAGAUCAUUGGUUCAUCCUGCUAGUAUGUUGUAUUUAAUCAGCCUGCAAUAAUGAUGUACAAUGAGUUUGCGGACAGUUAUGUUCUAUGGUCCUUGCUUUCACAGAGUGUUGUCUCCAGCCUACUAAUUUAGGACUGUUGAGUGGCCUGCUUAUUAGAAAGUUCUCCAAAUUUUUUUUAUUUUCUUGUUUGACAUAUAUAUUUUUUACAAAAUCUGGCAUUAGCUAAAACUGUUAAAAUUGGCGUAAAAUUGUGGACCAUGUAGUUUUGAUUGGUAACAUAUGCCAAAGUAGCUGCUUCAUUUACCUUGAUGGUUGUGACCCUUGUGAAUCAAUGUUUUAGAUGUUUGUAUUUCUCGUCAGCAAUCAGUUGUGAGCUGUUCUUUUUUGCUUAAAAUCUAUUGUGAAAUAGAUAAAGGGGGGAUAUCCUAAUAUGAACCUGUGUCGUAUUUUGAAACUUAAAUCUAUUGUGAAACAGAUAAAGUGAGGAUAUCAUAAUAUGAACCUGUGCCACUGUCUAUUAGGUUGAUUGCUUGUGUUCUCUUGGCUCAAUAUUUGCCUUAUCGAAAUUUUUAGGCUUGCUAUCUGUAUCCAUGAAUUACAUCAUUCAUUGAUGAACGUCAUUUUGGUGGAGUGUGAUAUUUUUCAUUAUUUCUGCAUGUUUCAUGCUGAAUAUUAUUAAUGAUACUUUUGAUCCCACAUGAGGCAAGGGUGAUUUGCUUUAUUGCCAAGUAGAUUAUUCACAUCACCCGGGAUGUUGGAUCAGUUAUAUUUCACAUCCCCUGGAUGUUGGAUCAAUUACAUUUCAAGUUCGAGAGUUUCCUACUUGUAUCUGGCUUCCUCUUUUGUGUGUUUGGGGCUGUAAUAAAUGUUAUUGGCUGGCUUGGUGAAGGGCAGAUGGAUGAGAAUAUGUUUGUCUGGUGAUAUGCACUGGUUGCAAGUGUUUUUACCACUUACCAGGGAAUCUGAUGGCUGCUAUCUAUUUGAGUUCUAGGUUGAUUAGAUCAGGUGAAUUCAUAACUGAACUACAGAAUCUGGGUUCUAGUUGACUGUUGGAUGGCUUAUAUUCCUUCAGGCCUGGUGUUUUCUUGGUUGUAAGGUUGUAAUGCAGAAAUUGGCAAAUGGGUCUCCAACUGCCCGGAAUAACCCCUUAUUUCCUCUUGAACGAUCUCAAUGGAACCUAAAAUGUUGACUGCUAAUCUUCUGCUGAAAGGUUAUGAUUAGAAUGAUGAGUUCAACCGCAAGCAUCCAUUGUUUGCUUUAUUCU